GUUUUUAAAUAGUUUUAGAACAUGUAAUUUCUAGAAUAAGUUUCCUAAUAUUUUGCACCCUAAAGUAUAUCAGUAAAGAAGGCAGAAUCAUUUAAACUACAUGAUUUUACCGUGGCCGUGGUAUUCCUUUUUUACGCAAUCCUUUUCAGCAGCUGGGAAUUUAUGUUGCUAGCAUGUAGAUGAAAACAAGCAGAUACGUAGUAAGCUAUUUCUCUGAGGGUGAUUUAAAGCAUUUGUGAAACGUGCUCUGUUGCUGCUCCAGAUUGCUUUCUAAAGAUGCUAAAGGGACUUUCAAGCUUCCUAUGAUUCCUUUCAUAACUUCAGUUUUUUGACCAAGUCUCUUCUAACUUGACAUUAUUAGUUUCACACAGCUGUUUAUUUAUUUAUUUUCAAAGCAGGUACAAAUAAAUUCUUAUUGAUGUUUUACUACACAAGAUUUUUAACAUAUUUUUUCCACUGAAAACUCAAAAUCCUCUGAGGAGGGCCCAGGUUAUGGCAAUGCAUGCAUAACUUUCUUUCUUUUCCCUCUUGUGAAGCUGAUAUCACCUUAAACACUCUGAAGAGCUGAGGAAAACCUCUGCCUCAUUUAAUUACAGCUGUCUCAACAUGCAGGUGUAUUAUAUCAUUAUAUUAUUAGCUCCACAGGAACCACUGAGAGGAUGUAAAUCUUCUGUAUGAAUAUCAAAUGGGCUUCAGCUGAAACUUAUGUUUAUGCAGAAUAAAUGACUUUUAUUUACAGAUGCGUCUCAUGCAAUUAUGUGUGUCAGGCUAGUGAAGUGUGGCUGAUGUUGGAAGUCUUGGUGACCUAGCCAAAAUGAAGUCAGUAAAAAUGCAUGAGGUUUAUAUGCAACCAGUGGCCUCCUACACAAGUGCAAACAGGCUGGAAUUGCAUGAAGAUCAUUGGAAAACUGGGUGAAGUGCCACAGCCCCUUCAUAGCUAAGGAUUUCACCUCAAGGAAAGGCACAUGAAAGGACCUAGGUACUAAAAUUGACAUAUUCUGUGAUGGGUAAUAUAAGGAGAAUGCCAAAAAGGUUUUUGCCUUGGGCUAAUACAUGAAAUUACUGGUGAAGGAAUGAUGAGAAUUCAUAAUCAUAGCUAAGGUUAGAUGUGGUAAAAUAUGCUGCAUGUUCAAUGGUAGUUUUAAUUUUUACUAUGCCAAGAAUGAUAAUGUCUGUGAUACAUUUUCAAGUAUUUAAGACUUUCAAUUAUUAUGUAUUAAUUGAGAAUAUAUAGAAAUGCCUAAAG
rnacentral:lncRNA from 1 species